GGCACCCACCAACAUACCAGGCUCAGCUCAUCAUGAAGAAUGUCCAUGUGACUUUGGUUAAUAAAAUCCCAGGAACCAAACAUGUGAGUGAAGAAGACUUAGCAAUGAACCCAGCCUCAGCCACCGACUGACUGCAACAUCAUGAUAACCAGAGCCAGAACCACUCAGCUGAACCACACCCAAAUUCUUGAGCCAUAGAAGAAUAGAUCCAGUGGACUGUAGUCUGUUUAACUGAGACCUCACACAUAAUGUCAUGGUUGACAGUUACUGGUUGAAGGAAAUCCAUGUUGGGCUUCUGUGGAUGCUGGAUUCUUUCCUUCUGAGAAGAAAUAUAACACACUGACUUUGAGGUGAUGGUGGAGAAAAAGUACAAGCAGAAGACUUUUCCCAACUUCUCCAUAGCCUACAUGCGUGUGGAAACACUUCAGGUUAACCACUUGAAGCUUCAGAGACUGCAGUGAGGCCCUGGCAUAGGAACAUGCUCAUCACGGGCAUGUUCACAGAGCAAAGCAGCCAGCGUGACUGCAGCACAGAGUAGGAAGGGUGUGGAAGGAGAUGAGAGAGAAUGAAGAGGGAAUCUUUGAACUUGAUUACCAAGGAGAUGGGAUGAUAAAUCCAUCCAGCCACUCCAAGAAGCCAAGUUAAGACCCUGCAACAAAGGGAAUUCAAAGACUUGAGCUGUCCAUUGAGAAAGAUCUGCUGCUUAAGUUCAAGUUCAUGUCCUCCAGAUGUUUCCCCCAUCCUCCAGGGUCACUGCCUUCUUGUCGAACUUGAAUCUGCCUUCAAUUUAUUAAUGGAUCUGGUUGGUGGCAUCCACUGUUUACCAAGAGCCUUUCUACAAUCCACACUACUGGACUAACGCUUUCCCCUACUUCACUCUACUCUCAAGGGAUGGAAGCACUGAUGAAGAGCACAGACAGAAUCAAGUGUACAUGCAGAACAUAUGGUAACCAUAUAAAGGGAUGAUGUCAAAA
ensembl:lncRNA novel transcript